GGUAACAAUUCUAGAUUCAAACAUAACAGCUCCAGGGAACCUUUCAACUUCAACUAAAAACACUCCGGAGUCUACUGGGUGACGACAGAGAGCGGCGGAAAGUGUUUGUCGGCAUCGGAUACUACUUAUACAACACCACCAAAUCCUGGUCGAACCUGGAGUACAUUGCAGAGAACGUGAUAACGCCAGAUGUGGAUGUCCUGGUGUUAAUGACCACGAUUUUGACUAUGCCCUAUCAAGACCACUGCAUCACACUGCCCAUCAACGCUUACAAGAGCCUGCACGUGUUUACUCC
rnacentral:lncRNA from 1 species